rnacentral:rRNA from 1 species
UACAGAGGGGGCAAGCGUUGUUCGGAAUUACUGGGCGUAAAGGGCGCGUAGGCGGCCUGCUAAGUCGAACGUGAAAUCCCUGGGCUCAACCCAGGAACUGCGUCCGAUACUGGUUGGCUUGAAUCCGGGAGAGGGAUGUGGAAUUCCAGGUGUAGCGGUGAAAUGCGUAGAUAUCAGGAGGAACACCGGUGGCGAAGGCGGCAUCCUGGACCGGUAUUGACGCUGAGGCGCGAAAGCUAGGGGAGCAAACGGG